UCACCUGUCAUCAUCUUCCUGGAAACCAUCCCGUAUAGGACUUCAUCUUGAAUCAAAUACCCGGAAAAAUCUCUCGAUGCUCCAUAAUCUUGACCCUUACUCCACGUUUAACUCCUCCAUAAAUAUCCCCUCGUCUAACCCGUGCGAUGUUUGCAAAAGCCCAAGCUUAAAUCCAUCACCACGCCCGCCGCCAGAUCGAUCUCGCUGACUUUACCGGCGACCACCACCGUACCUGAGCUUGGAUAGGAGGACCGUAAGCAUGCGCAUACAAGCCCGCCGGAGGUCUACUAGACUGCCCGCCUCCAACCAGAUAUCAGAAAACGCAGACCAAGGACGUUCCGCGGAUGCUGGCGCGUACGCCGGCGCGGAGCAGAGCUGAACUGAACAGUUAGCUGUCUUCGCCGCAUCCAGAGAAGCACCAGGAGCGAGCCAGCACCACCGUCUUCCUCGUACGUCGACCACCGGCCGCUGCUGGUUAUUCGACGACUUGUGUGAAUGCGUAGGUUGCGAGUCUACACUCAACCAGCCUGUGGCAUUGAUGGGACUCCAAGAUGUUAUUUCGUUUUCCGUUGUAUUGAGCUAGCCUUUGGCUAUGCAAGUUGUAAACAUUUGUACUCUGGAUUAUUCAAAUCGUGUAAUAAAGACUUGUGUUUUACAUGAUAA